UACGAGGGGGGCAAGCGUUGUUCGGAAUUAUUGGGCGUAAAGGGUGCGUAGGCGGCGCGGUAAGUCGGGUGUGAAAUCUCGGAGCUUAACUCCGAAACUGCAUUCGAUACUGCCAUGCUUGAGGACUGGAGAGGAGACUGGAAUUUACGGUGUAGCGGUGAAAUGCGUAGAUAUCGUAAGGAAGACCAGUGGCGAAGGCGGGUCUCUGGACAGUUCCUGACGCUGAGGCACGAAGGUCAGGGGAGCAAACGGG
rnacentral:rRNA from 1 species